rnacentral:lncRNA from 1 species
CGGCGGGCACCGCGCCCCUCCUCGCAGCCUCCCUCCCAAACCGCAAAAGCCCUGCGUCUGGAGAGGGGGCGAGCGGGCUCGCGAGAGAGCCCGGGAGCCAUCUGCUGGCUGCGAGGGAGGAGAGCCGGGUGAGCCGGGCUUUCCAUUUCCUUGUCCCCACUCCGGGCGGGCCAGGGGACCCAGAAGACGGGAGACGGCAGAUUCUGCAGACCCGUCUACACGGAAGCUGGUUCUUUUUGGGACCCUCUUACGCACUUUUUCUUUUUCAACCCUCCCGGUGACAUGUCACUUCAUCAUCGCUAUUCUUCAUUUCUGAUGAGCUAGACGAAACCUGUGAACACUAAUCAUACCGUGAGAAGACACUUGUGUGUGUGCGUUCAGCUGGUGCUCUGCAGCCGCAGUUCGCUAUCUCAGACAUUCCCGUUGAGAGCGCCUUGGAAAAUGCCUUUCACUCGGAAAAGUCUCUUUUAUCCUCGGGGCAUAUUCAGGAAGCUGAGCUUUAAUCACUGGAGCCUAUGAAGCUGGGGUUUCAAUAAAAGAAUCAUUUUCACUGCAACAGGAUCCUGAUUGGCUCCUGCAUCUCUGAAGAAGUGAAUUCAAAUGAAUCUCCUAUCACAACACUGAAAAAUGACUGACUGAUUUUGGAAAUCAAAGUCAUUUACUUCUCGGUUGCAAAACUCAAAUAUGUUUCAGAAUAGCAAGCAGAGAACUCCAAGGAGCACUGUUUAUAAAGCUGCAAACCCAACAAGCAGUAAACAUCCCUAGCACCGUAAAACCAUGGUGCCAGCUUGGAGAAUGCAGUUUGCAUUCUGAAAUGUGUGCUUGUUUACUGAAUCGGCCUGCCCCUUCUACUGCUACUGCUGCAAAAACAAACUUUUCUCACUCCAUCACUCCAACUUC